rnacentral:rRNA from 1 species
GACGAACGCUGGCGGCGUGCCUAAUACAUGCAAGUCGAGCGGACUUAAAAAGCUUGCUUUUUAAGUUAGCGGCGGACGGGUGAGUAACACGUGGGCAACCUGCCCGUAAGACUGGGAUAACUUCGGGAAACCGGAGCUGAUACCGGAUAAUCCUUUCCUACUCAUGUAGGAAAGCUGAAAGACGGUUUACGCUGUCACUUACAGAUGGGCCCGCGGCGCAUAAGCUCGUUGGUGAGGUAACGGCUCACCAAGGCGACGAUGCGUAGCCGACCUGAGAGGGUGAUCGGCCACACUGGGACUGAGACACGGCCCAGACUCCUACGGGAGGCAGCAGUAGGGAAUCUUCCGCAAUGGACGAAAGUCUGACGGAGCAACGCCGCGUGAGUGAUGAAGGUUUUCGGAUCGUAAAACUCUGUUGUUAGGGAAGAACAAGUACGAGAGUAACUGCUCGUACCUUGACGGUACCUAACCAGAAAGCCACGGCUAACUACGUGCCAGCCGCCGCGGUAA